rnacentral:rRNA from 1 species
UACGUAGGUGGCAAGCGUUGUCCGGAUUUACUGGGCGUAAAGGGCGUGCAGGCGGUUGGUUAAGUCCAGGGUGAAAGCUCCCGGCUCAACUGGGAGAGGUCCUUGGAUACUGGCCGACUUGAGGGAGGCAGAGGAGAGUGGAAUUCCCGGUGGAGUGGUGAUAUGCGUAGAUAUCGGGAGGAACACCAGUGGCGAAGGCGGCUCUCUGGGCCUUACCUGACGCUGAGACGCGAAAGCGUGGGGAGCGAACCGG